rnacentral:rRNA from 1 species
GUGGGGAAUAUUGGGCAAUGGGCGAAAGCCUGACCCAGCAACGCCGCGUGAAGGAAGAAGGUCUUCGGAUCGUAAACUUCUAUCCUUGGUGAAGAUAAUGACGGUAGCCGAGAAGGAAGCCCCGGCUAACUACGUGCCAGCAGCCGCGGUAAUACGUAGGGGGCAAGCGUUGUCCGGAAUGAUUGGGCGUAAAGGGCGCGUAGGCGGCCUGGUAAGUCUGGAGUGAAAAUCCUGCUUUUAAGGUGGGAAUUGCUUUGGAUACUGUCGGGCUUGAGUGCAGGAGAGGUAAGUGGAAUUCCCGGUGUAGCGGUGAAAUGCGUAGAGAUCGGGAGGAACACCAGUGGCGAAGGCGACUUACUGGACUGUAACUGACGCUGCGGCGCGAAAGUGUGGGGAGCAAACAGGAUUAGAUACCCUAGUAGUCC